rnacentral:lncRNA from 1 species
GAUUACCCUCAACUAAACUGAUAUUUCUUCUAUUAUAGUAUUGGAGUCUUAUCUUUCUUGGACAGAGUAGAUUACCCCUCUUCUUGAAGGUUUUAAGGCAUUUUAGAGGUUGCAGAGUACCCUCCUCUAAACCAGUAUUGCUUUCUUGUAGAGUCAUUUCUUUUCUUUUCUUAGAAUAGCUAGAGCUCAAGAUAUUAGUAUGAUUGAAAGUUCAGAGUCCAAUUUGGUUGCCAUUAUGAAUGCUCUUAUUACGUUAUCACUGAGAACUGUAGAGAUUGAAUGAAUCAUUGUAAGACUUUAUGAUGAUGGAACACUUGGGAUGGUACAAUUGAGGAUUCAUCAGCUUUAAGCUUCAACACUAGGAGAAACAACUUUGCCUCUAGUUCAAUAAGGACCGUUGGUCUUACAAUGAAAGGAGCCUUGAAUUAGCCUUCUAGAUAAGUUCGAUGGUACGCGUUCUAAGUUUUGAGAUUUUGUCAAUCAAAUUAGAUUGAUAAUAGCUUUACAGUCCAAUCGCUAUCUGA